AUCAUCCCGUAUACACCUAUUAUAUUAUUAUUAAUAUAUGUAUAGUCGUUAUUAUUUCGGUUCACAUUUGAUUAUUAACGCCACGGGCGCGGGCAACAAUGAACGUCGUCGUCGUCGUCAUCCGUCAAUGUACAGGGUGUAACACAAUAUUAGAUACCUACAGCGGGCAAGUGCAGCGGUAGCCGCCAACAUUCGAAUGGGAAACGCAGAGACUUAUUAUUAUAUACGUUUAUUAAUAUUUUAUUAUUAUCAUCGUCGUUGUUGUUAUUAUUAUUAUUAUUAUUAUUUUUUCAAUCCACAGCUUCUCGCGCGUGUGUGUAUGUGUGUAUGUGCGAGAUGUGUCAUUAAACUCGCGCGACCAGAUAUCGUCGCCAUUGUCCGUCUUGUGCAGUGUCCACUGUUGUUGUACGUACGACGUUUUUCCACCUCGUCUCGUCGACGCUACCUACGAUUUUUCCCGACACGCUGUGCUACUAAUAAGUACCUAUAAUAGUAAUAAUAAUAAUAAUAAUAAUGAUAAUAACUGCAAUAAUACGCGUGCACGAUAAUAAUAAUAUAAUAUUUUGUCAUACGGAGCAAUGCUAUUAACAGCAGUGCCGUAUUUAGCCAAACUCUGGUGUAGCGUGUACGUGACGUGCGUGUUUGUGUAGCUUUAGGAGGCGGUGCGUAUGCGCCUAUCUAUGUAUAAAGGUGCAUCUGUAUUAACUCCGCGCAGAUUUAAUUAGACGCUGUCAUCUCCGCGCGAGGCCAACGUACCGAAAUCAACCGAUUGCUGUGAGACCGUCGUAGACGUACUACUAUGUGUCGAGCACAUUAUCGGACGUACGACAUCUAUUCUCCACAUCUCACUUUUUAUUUAUGGCAGCGACGGUUCUCGUUGGGAUACUUGCGGUAAUAAUAAGCUCGGACAGCCUCGGCGAUAAUAACACGGUGCGGCGUACACAUAAUAUUGCACCUAACCGCUGUUUCCGCGGGUACACGCAAUAAACCGGUUGUCGACUGCCGGUACACGAGUGUCCGCAACUGUAAAAAACAAAUCGCAGGUACCAGCACGGCAGCACCGUCAGCUGUAUAAGACUUAUCGGACCACACGAUGCGUUGUAACUUAUUGCUAAAUUCUAAAAUACCGAUUAAAGAAACGUUUAACAUAUCUAUAGUAAAUGCGCAUAUUUGUAGGCAUAUUUCAUUAUAUAAACAAAAUAAUAUUUGAACAA